UGUUGGGAGAUAAUGAUGGUUACAAGCACAUAUCUUAAUCCUUCAUGUGGAAUUACCUUUUACUGAAUCUCCGUCC